AUCAUUUAUCUUACUUUUGGCUAAGAUCAAGUGUAGUAUCUGUUCUUAUCAGUUUAAUAUCUGGUACAUCCUCUAUCCGAGGACAAUAUAUUAAAUGGAUUUUUGGAGCAGGGAGUUGGAAUAGGGGCUGGCUCCAUCCACUCCACGCAUCAGCCUGGUAUUUCAGUACUUCCAGGAACAGUGCACCAAAA
rnacentral:snRNA from 1 species